rnacentral:lncRNA from 1 species
AAAAUUGGAAUGAUCGACGACAACGCCUAAUAAUAAGCAAUAGCUAUUGGGAUACUCUUAUCUCUCUCUCUCUCACACGCACUCUAGUCAAGAAGACAGACAACGAAGUGGAAAGCAGUUGAAGGCGUCACAGGGAAGUCCACGUGUAAGAGAGACAGUUCAUUUGGGAAUCUCAUCCAACUCUUCUCUUCUCCAACACUCUUUGCUUCCGAGUUCCAACUGUCUCUCCUCUUUGCCACGUUGCCUUUGUCUCUACUUUGCUUUACCUGUCUCUCCCAUUUAAAAAAAAAAAAAAGAAUUAAAAUCCAGUUUAUUAAAACAACAAUAUUUGUUUUUUCUUUCCAUUUUCAAUAAUGUUUAUUGGUCAUAAACUUUUCUAGAAUAUUCAAAGACUUGCAAAAAGUCUAUAUUUG